ACUAUGAAGAGUUUGAUCCUGGCUCAGGAUGAACGCUAGCGACAGGCUUAACACAUGCAAGUCGAGGGGCAUCAUGAGGUAGCAAUACCUUGAUGGCGACCGGCGCACGGGUGAGUAACGCGUAUGCAACCUGCCCGAUACCGGGGUAU
rnacentral:rRNA from 1 species